UACGGGGGGAGCAAGCGUUGUUCGGAUUUACUGGGCGUAAAGGGCGCGUAGGCGGUCGUGACAAGUCACUUGUGAAAUCUCCGGGCUUAACUCGGAACGGUCAAGUGAUACUGUCGGACUAGAGUACAGAAGGGGCAACUGGAAUUCUCGGUGUAGCGGUGAAAUGCGUAGAUAUCGAGAGGAACACCUGCGGCGAAGGCGGGUUGCUGGGCUGAUACUGACGCUGAGGCGCGAAAGCCAGGGGAGCGGACGGA
rnacentral:rRNA from 1 species